GACGAACGCUGGCGGCGUGCUUAACACAUGCAAGUCGAGCGGAGCGGCGAACGGGUGAGUAACGCGUGAGUAACUGCCCCCCUCUCUGGGAUAACAGUUGGAAACGGCUGCUAAUACCGGAUAGUGGGGGAUGACUCGCGUCCUCUCAGCUUGUUGGUGGGGUAGUGGCCUACCAAGGCGACGACGGGGAGCCGGCCUGAGAGGGCGACCGGCCACAUAGGGCCGAGAUACGGCCGAAACGCGUACGGGAGGCAGUAGUGUGGAAUAUUGCGCAAUGGGGGAAACCCUGAGGCAGCAACGCGCGUGCGUGAUGACGGCCUUCGGGUUGUAAACCGCUUUCAGCCAUGACGCGGUAGUUGCAGAAGAAGCACCGGCUAACUACGUGCCAGCAGCCGCGGUAAUUC
rnacentral:rRNA from 1 species